AAAGACUCUCGGCAACGGAUAUCUCGGCUCUUGCAUCGAUGAAGAACGUAGCGAAAUGCGAUACUUGGUGUGAAUUGCAGAAUCCCGUGAACCAUCGAGUCUUUGAACGCAAGUUGCGCCCGAAGCCAUUAGGCUGAGGGCACGCCUGCCUGGGUGUUGCACAU
rnacentral:rRNA from 22 species